UAAUAAGAUCAAAUUGGCCAGGUCAGUAGGUGGGAGGCUCUCCGUAGCUUUUCUUAGACACCAACAAAGUUAGCCAGACCAGCAUACGGACCUAAUUAGAAAAAUCAUCUUUCAUAUUUUUUUAGACACCAAUUGAUCAAAUGAAUUCGAUAUUUGAUUUGAAAGUGAAUUAUGACAUUAUAACUUAAUAUAAUUUUUAAGAGGAUCUUUGAACUGGUCUCGGCACAUCCUAACUACAACUGCAUAAAAUAUACUAUACAUAUUAUGCAAUUUGACAUGCAUUUAUAAGUCAUAAUAAUAAUCAUAUAAUCAUGCC
rnacentral:lncRNA from 1 species